CUUGGAUAAGCUUGGGAAACUGGGUCUAAUACCGGAUAGGAACCAUCUUUAGUGUGGUGGUUGGAAAGUUUUUUCGGUGUAGGAUGAGCUCGCGGCCUAUCAGCUUGUUGGUGGGGUAAUGGCCUACCAAGGCGGCGACGGGUAGCCGGCCUGAGAGGGUGUACGGCCACAUUGGGACUGAGAUACGGCCCAG
rnacentral:rRNA from 1 species